rnacentral:rRNA from 1 species
CCUACGGGGGGCUGCAGUGGGGAAUUUUGGACAAUGGGCGCAAGCCUGAUCCAGCCAUUCCGCGUGAGUGAAGAAGGCCUUCGGGUUGUAAAGCUCUUUCGCCAGGGAAGAAAACUUAUCCUCUAACAUAGGAUGAGGUUGACGGUACCUUGAUAAGAAGCACCGGCUAACUACGUGCCAGCAGCCGCGGUAAUACGUAGCGGACGAGCGUUAAUCGAAAUUACUGGGCGUAGAGUUUGCGCAGGGUGGUGAAAGCCCCGAGCUCAACUUGGGAACUGCGUUUGAAACUACAAGACUAGAAUAGGUCAGAGGGGGGUAGAAUUCCACGUGUAGCAGUGAAAUGCGUAGAGAUGUGGAGGAAUAUCAAUGGCGAAGGCAGCCCCCUGGGAUCAUAUUGACGCUCAUGCACGAAAGCGUGGGGAGCAAACAGGAUUAGAUACCCUUGUAGUC